rnacentral:misc_RNA from 1 species
UGCCUGUGGUUUCAGAGGUGUGGU